AGACACCAUUAUGGGGCAAGAUUUGCUUCAGUGGGGCUUUGGUGCUCACUGAGUCUGCCCCCUGAGUGUGUCCCU
rnacentral:pre_miRNA from 1 species